UACAGAGGGUGCAAGCGUUAAUCGGAAUUACUGGGCGUAAAGCGAGCGUAGUCGGUUAUUUAAGUCGGAUGUGAAAGCCCCGGGCUCAACCUGGGAAUUGCACUCGAUACUGGAUAGCUAGAGUUCGGCAGAGGGAAGCGGAAUUUCCGGUGUAGCGGUGAAAUGCGUAGAUAUCAGGAGGAACACCUGCGGUGUAGACGGCUUUCUGGACCUUGCUGACGUGAGACACGAA
rnacentral:rRNA from 1 species